GACGAACGCUGGCGGUGUGCCUAACACAUGCCAGUCGAACGGCAAGGCCCUGAUAUCGUGCGGUGCUUGAGUGGGGAACGGGUGAGUAACAGGAGUGUAUCCUGCUCUAGACUUUGGGAUAACUUCAGGAAAGUGGGGUUAAUCUCGGACCGGAGAUGACGUAGGAUGGAGGGGGUUGGAAAGUCUGGGCGGUUGGGGUUGGAUUCGCGGCUUACCGGUUAGUUAGUGGGGUAGUGGCUUACCCAGGCUUUGACCGGUCGCCGGCCUGAGAGGGUGAGCGGCCACAUUGGGACUGAGGUACGGCCCAGGCGCCUACGGUAGGCAGCAGUGGGGAAUAUUGCACAAUGGACGGAGGCCGGAUGCAGCAGCGCCGCGUGCGGGAUGGCGGCCUUCUGGUUAUAGACCACUUUCACCUUUAACGAAGCGUGAGUGACGGUAAUGAAUAGAGAAGCACCGGCUAACUACGUG
rnacentral:rRNA from 1 species